ensembl:rRNA 5S_rRNA 5S ribosomal RNA
AUCUAUGGCCAUACCACCUUAAUGCUGGAAGAUAAGCAGGGUCAUGUCCUGCCAGUAGUGGGAUGGGAGUCCAUCUGGGAAUACGGGAAACAUUAGGCU